rnacentral:lncRNA from 1 species
CGACUAUGCAUAGACCACAGGCUGAUAAAUUUCUCCUUCAUUCUCUUUGAAUGGGGCAAUUCCCACUCAGCUGGCUAUUUUCCCCAAAAUAGUAUAGGAGGGAUAUUUUUGACUGUCUUCCUUAUUAACUCAAAAAGUCCCUUCAGCCUCCUCCCUUAGGAAUUGAGUGAAAAGUUGGAUGUUGGAUGAAGAAUUUAUCUGAGAGGAAAUUUCUGGGGCUUGGGGAAUAUUCGACUGUGGAGUUCUGUUUCUGAGUUUCUCCGUGAACGCAGGAACAUCUUCACUGUUUUUUAGCGUAUGCUUUAUGCUUUCAAGUUUGGGGAACGUCCACGUCUUGGAUUUCAGCACAUAGUCACUUGUCAGUUGCCCACUUUGGUGAGAAGAUGAGUAGCAAUGAAUCAUCUCCUUCUUCUUUUUGGUGGAUAGCUGUAUAAUUUCUCCUGAAUUGGGCCUAUUGCUGAAAAGUCAGCUCACGUCCAUAUAUCAUCUCUCCUGUUUGGAAGCUGGACCAGAGAAGACAAUGGUUUCCCCUGUGCCAUCCAACUUCCCCACUCACCAUCUUGUUUCGGGGACCAUCCUGUGAAGGCACAGCAUAAACCUCGAAGAGGGAUGUUUCAAGCAUUAGUCAGGGAGCAAGGAUGACUCUGUGGCCCUUCAAGGUGUCUGUGAAACCAAGGCAAUGAGAAAGUAUGUGCGGGAGACAUCUGCAUGGGCACACCCCAAUAACCUGGAAAUAAGGGAAAUAUGAUUGCCUUCUGGCACUUAUACUGUGAAGUCAACACAAAAUGGGUCAUAGCAGAGUCCUGCAGAGCCGCCUUAAGGAAGUGGAAUGCCUUCCAGGUUUUGUCUGGGUGGCCAAAGGAACCAAGAGGAUUAUCUGUACUCUGAAAUCACACUUUUCCCAAAUAUCCCAUGGUAAGGACUUAUUCUGCAGUUACCUCCACUGUCUGCUGGCUUGUCUGUAAAAAGGAGGAGAAAUUGCAGAAAAGCAUGAACAGGAGCCUUGAGAUACUGUCACUACCCUACUCACGGAUGAGGAAAAUAACACUCAAGAGGCCAGAUUCACAACAAUGAGUAUUUCAAGUCUGUGUUGAAUGAUUCACUGUGCUUCACAUUGUUGACAAUGUAUUAGUCCUUCUAAGGGAACCGGCCACCCACAUCACUGACCAAUGAGAGAGAGGGACUGAACUGCUGUGAGUAAUACAACAGAUCUUUGCUCUACCAUCCAACCAAGAUUGAUCGAAUCAAGGAUGGGCACCUAACUCAAGGACAGAAAUUCAUCAACUACUUAGAAACCUUGGGCCUGAAGCAAAAAACAGAAGUGGGGUUUUUAUCAAAAAUUUACACAAUGAAAUUGUUGAAAAGUGCUUAGUUAGUGGUGGGGUCAGAAGCAGAAAGGAUGCCAAGAGCCAAGUUAAGAUGAAGACAAGCUAUUUGCAAGGAGAAGUUAUAAGGACGCAAAAAAUGUAAGUAGAGGACACUAGUCAAUAGAAUUACUGGGUUCACAGAGAGAAGCAGAAAUGCCAUUAUAAAGAGAAAGCAGGUGGCCCCUGGGAGUUAUAAGGAGGGUAACUGGCCCCUGAAGUUGCUAUGAUUUCCAAUGACUGCUAUUUUGGGAUAAUUCACUCUUAUUUUUAUAACUUGGGGUGUUUGAAGGAGAUCACUGUUCCUUGCAACUAAACAAGGUUGAUUAGGACUCUGUACUAUAAGAUGGAACAUUGGACACGGGAAAAACAAAUCACAGUGACAUUAACAAAGAUUUUUUGCAUUAAUGGUGGCUGGAAGCUCCUCCCCCAAUUACCUCUCACAAGGAAUAGAAUUGACAGCAGAGGCUGAAGUGAGCUAAGUACACAGGUGUGAUGAGGGGAAGCAGCCAGGAAAGACAGCCAUGUACAUAACUUGUGAGUUGCAACAACCUUUCAAACACUGCUUCCAGUGGUCCUAUGUGAUGAGAAUUAAUGUUCAAGAACAAGAUUCUACCAGAUCUUUACCUGGGAAAUGUACACCAGACUCUCUAUAAAGCAGAAAAUGAACAUAAAAAUGAUUUAAGCAAACAAGCUUUGGAGGGUAUCAUCCCAUCAGUAAUUCAGAAACACCAAACAUCCUAAAUGUCCACAGAACCCCCAAAUUCUGCUUUUCAAUGGAGUUUUACUGAAUGCACGUUAAGCUUGAAGCUGUGCCAAAAGAACAAACUGAAAUCACUCAGAGGGUGACAUUGUGGAAGGACAGAAGCAGACAUUCCAAAGGGACUCCGAUUCCCAAAGGCAUCGAUGCAUUAGGUUAUUAACCUCAGCUGAAUCAUUCAUAUGCCACAGUCCCUAUUCUAAGUUCUGUAAGGGGAAACCUUUCCGUUACAACUCAAUAUGUCUUUUACUUUUUUCUCCUUUCCAUUUACAGAUACUCACACCAGGGAAGAGUUAGUUGAAAAUGUCCUUGCUCCCCAGGCAUUUGCUAGGGAAAGAGGUGGGGGAGCAUUCGACAGCUGAGUGUUCGGCUAUAACUCAGAGACUGUCUGCGUGAAAUGUGGAUUGGUUACCUUGAGACUGGACCAGUCUCUAAACAGAAUUUCACUACAUUAAAAGAGCAAUGCAUUUGCCUGUGAAAGUCUAGACUAGAAAAUGACUCUCUGUGGCCAUGGCAUCAAAAAUACUAGAGAAAGAAAGGAAUAAAUGCUUUCUGAUGGAUUCAACACCUACAUGGCAAAUUUGCCAAAACCCUUUGUGUAACUUGAUCAUCAAGUUACAAUAAAAUCAGGAAAAGUAAUGAAAGAAAAAGCAUUCUUUUCCCAUAGUUUUUCCUCUAUUUUUCCAUAUAUAUUUUUUCAACAAUAUGUCUUUGCAGGUUCUGUUUUUAUACGUCUCUUUUUUAUGUACAUUUCCUUUAAGUAGUUCUAAGUACUUAAAUAUGUAGAUCCUAAAAUAAAACAAGGUCCGCAAAAUUGCAUUGCCACAUUCUCCACUAGAGUUGAGUUAAAGUUUAAUUAAAGUGAAUUACAAGCUUCCCAGUACUAGUUAUGUUGCUUUUCAUGGCAAAGUUCUUUUGGUACACACCUAAGUUUCAAAUAUACAGAGGUAAAAGCAUUCAGUAACCUGAUUCCAGGGAACAUCUCAUCAGGAAGAGAUCCACGCAGAAUCAUUUUGUCCACAUGAGCAGUGGGGGUAAGAUGGGGAAGUGGCAAUUAUCCUGCUUUAAGGGAAGUUUCAUUCACUAGAAAACAUUCUCCUCAUCAAGGAAUAAUGGAGGAAGGCCCAAAUAUUUCAGUGAUUCAACUUAAGAGGAGAAAACUCCCUUUGGGUGGAGAAAAACUAAGGGCUUUUAAUCCCCAAAUUUAUUUAAAGCUGAGAUAGCACCAGGGCUUAAAGUACACUGGAGUAGGGAAAAUAUGAGAACAUCAUUAGUGGAGAUAAUACUUUAUGAUUACCCUCAUUUUAUGCCCUUCUGACUUCUUCUAUUCUAUUAAGCUCUUUAAGAAGCAUGACAAUGAGGGGGGCAAACCCUCAAUAUCUAGUGGGGGCACACCCUCACUAUCUAGUUAGCACACAAACAAUUGCAGUAAUGGUAAUAAUAAUAACAGUAAGCUUAUUGAUUGAACUGACAGGCACUGAGCUAACUGUUCUACAUUUCAACCAUAUUCAAACCUCAGAAAAGUUCCACAAGAUAAGAAAGAUUACACCCCUUUUAAAGUUUUCAGUCUCAUUAUGACUUUACAUGAGUGUGAAGAGUAUAUGAAAUUGCUCACAUCAUCCCUAAUCUCAAAGAACAUAUAGUAUAAUAAGAAAAAGAUGUAUACAUAUAGGACAAUUAAAAAGUACAAUCAAGAAUAAAAUUCUGACACAUAAGACUUAAUUGGAGGACAAGAAAUAUGAAGAUGCUAUAGCUCUCCAUUAAUUCUUGAGUCUCCCAAACUCCAGCUCAGACUUCUUGGCAAGCGUGGGUCUGCACCCUGAUCAGCAGCACCGACCAACUAACUUAUCUUUUCCACAUCUCAUUAGAGAUAGUUAAUGAAUCGGAAGAUGCCUCUUCAGCAUCUUGUAUCAUUGCUUUCAGCAGCAUACACUAUCUGCAUUUCAUUAUACAUUUAUCAGAUGGUCGGUUUUAUUAUAUAUUAAUGUAUUUGAAGACCUCAAAUUCACCCUUUAAAAGUGAUCAUAUUUUUCCUUGCCAUGAGAUAGAUUAAUCAAAAGAAGAAUUGGUUUUACCUGAUGCUCUGAACGUCUCUUAUUUGGCUUUAAUGUUACUUAAUUGAUGCUCAAACAAAAAUACUUUAUACAUUUCAUUUCAGAGACUUUCAAACAUACAAUCUUGGAAUACUAAGAGCAUUACAGAUUUUCUAGCCCCCAAUUUUUAUUUUAUACAUUUGAAAUUGAUGACAGACUAAUAAAGGUCUAGAUCAUGAACCUAGGUCUCUUAAAUUACUGCUUUGUCCUCAAUUCAAUUCAAUCAAUAUUUUCUCAGAAUCUGUUAUAUGCUGGGCACUGUGCUAAGGGCUGAUAAUAUAGUGGUAAACAAGACACAGUCUAGUGGGAAAUAGAGACAUUUUUGUUAGUGUUUGUAUAUCAUUUAUCUAUACACAUUAUACAUAUUUAAGCUACUGUGUUGAUAAUAAGAUGGCAAUAUAGUCGUAAUAAUAAGGUCUCUCAUUUAAUGCAUGUCUCAGUGUGCCAGAUUCUGUGACAUUGAGUUUCUUAUUUUGCUUAAUUCUUGUAAUAACCAUGCAAAAUAUUUGUGACUGUCCCCAUUUUAUAUGUGAAGAAGUCAGGACUUGGCUCAAGCAAACUGCUCAUCAUCAGACAGCUAAUGGUUGGAAUGGAUGCAUAUCUAAUUCCAGAGUCUUAAUGCUGUCCACUGCAGUAUACUUCUGAGAUCUCUUUCUUAAUGCUAUAUUUCCAAACUUCUCAUGGAUAUUGAUAAAUGAAAAAAUAUACACUAGAUAUACGGUCAAAAUCAAAGACUUUCUUCAGCAAAUUAAAAAUUAUAACAAUAAAUAAAGAUUGCCUUUUGAGAUGUUCUGAUCACUUAGUCAAUUUUUGAAAGUGUAAGUGAUUUUAAAGUUGAGCUGGAGGAGUGAACAUGAAGUGAAUCUCAUGUUUUGCUUAAAGCAAAUACCAUCAUGUUAUGCAAAGAACGAGGACUUUGAAGUCACACAAACUUGGUUUUAAAUCUCAACUUUGUCUUUCUCUCAUUGUAUAGUCUGGGUGAUGCUUCUCAAAAUCUUGUACUGAACAUUUCCUCAUGCAUAAAAAUGUAGGUUAUGCCCCUUAUUCAAGAGGAUUGUGGUGUGAAUUGAAUGAGAUCAGGUAUGUAACGUGCCUAAUGCAAUGGCAGAUGUAGUGGGUAUUUAAUAAAUGCUCAUUCCCUGAAUGGGAUCAAUGCACAAAAUAAGGGACUAUUGAAGAUACUUUGCACUGGAAGGAAUGCUGUCAAAGGUGGUAGGAGAAAUAUCUUCUCAAUAACAAUCUUGUUCCCCAGAAGAACUAUGGGCAUAAGAGGAACAAGGUGUGGUAGAGCUAAAUUCCCUUUUGGAUGAAACCAUUUGCAUCCUUCUAACUAGGAAAGGAAAGGCCUAUUCUCCCUUUUAAAAGUAGCAGAAGAGGAGAUGGAGUAGUUUUAAACGUGACAGAGGAUCUUUCCCAGCAUCCUUGAAAUUAUCUGCCUAUAUGUCUCAUCUCCACCUCAUUCUCCAACAUAAGGCUGGCCUGAUACAGGUGUGGAAACAGCACAGGCUAUAUCCAGGCUACUUGGGGGCUGGAAAGAAGCCACAGCAAUAUCCAUGGUGCAGGAUGUCUUUUUGCAGAGGAUCUUCUCUCUUGGAAGCAAAGGUAAGUCCACAUUAGUAGAACAGAGGGUAGUUAUCUCACUCACUGCUCAUAGGCAAAUCAGCAUCCUCUGCUUCCAGAAUCCCAGCAUAUCUGUACUUCAAACACUUAGGCGGCUACAGAGCUGUUCUUUUACAAGAUGGGCAUUUACACUUAAAAACAAGGAAAGGAGAUAUAUGAAGGAUAAAUUGAGAUUCCCCUGGGUGUUCACACAGCAUCUCCUUACUUCAGGGUUUUCAUUCUCAUGGAAAAUUGGCAACAUUUUCAAGAGUGACCAUUUACCAAGGACGUUUUAUGAGUCAGACAUGUAUUAUUCCUGAUGCGUACAUCAAUCUGCAGAAAUAGACAUUAUUUUAGAUGAGAAAAUUGAAUCUCAAAGAAGGUAAAUAAACUGCUCGAGUAACAAAACUAAUAAAUGAGAGAGCUGAAUUUGGUACUCAAGUCUAUAUGAAGCCUAUGCCUAGUCAACCUAGAUUCCUCAUCAGGCUAGAAGUGAAGAUACUUGAUAGAUUCCACCUCCAGAGCCCAAUACACUUGAAGUGAAUUCUUGCAGAUUAAUUUCAUCACCUGUGAGAACAGUGAAUGCCAGACAAUGGAGAUGAGUUCAGCAGAAGCAAGAAGCUGAACCAUGAGUCCCACUCAUAUUACCGAAUGCUAAAUAUCAAGGCAUUUUUGAAUCACUAUCUAUUCCAGUAAUAACAGAGAUCCUCACAGGCAUAUUAAAACAGAAUUCACAGACACCUCUGAUGGAAUACAAAAGUAAAACUAGAGGUUAGAAGAUGCAUUUUCCAGGUUAAAAAAUGCAUUUGUUUUGAAACACCCUGUUAAUAAAAAUGUCCAUUGUCGCAAGAGUCCCUUCGUAGUCAUACCCAAUAUGACUGAAAGAAGUUUGGAGACCAAAGGCAACAUCUUUAAAUAUUUAAAGAUUAAAAUGAAAAUUAAAAAUAGAUUUCCUUUCAAUGAAAGGUUUUAAAUUGAGCCCGUAAACUAUGUUUGAUUUUUAAAGCUAGCAGGAAUGCAUGUUAAGUAUUAAAGAUGUUUAACGUGAAAGUGUGUAUUCAAUAAAAAAUAAAUGAUUCAUUUUUAUAUAUGGUUUCCAAUUUAUUUUGUUGGACCCAACCUCCCAUUGGAAAUGCAGGAAAACAUCCUUAA